UCAAUGGAUUUCACAUGGCUGUCUGCA
rnacentral:piRNA from 1 species